rnacentral:misc_RNA from 1 species
CAGAGUUGCAAAACUCCAAACCAUUGUGAACCUACCUUGAACCGUUGCUUCGGCGGGCGGUCCCGGGGAGAGGGAUACCUCCCUCUCCCCCGGGGCCAUCGCCCUGACGGGCGCCCGCCGGAGGUACCUAACCCUGACCUUUUGUAUGGCCUCUCUGAGUCUCUGUACUGAAUAAGUCA